rnacentral:rRNA from 1 species
UCGAAGGGGGGCUAGCGUUGCUCGGAAUCACUGGGCGUAAAGCGCACGUAGGCGGAUUGUUAAGUCAGGGGUGAAAUCCUGGAGCUCAACUCCAGAACUGCCUUUGAUACUGGCGAUCUCGAGUCCGGGGAGAGGUGAGUGGAACUGCGAGUGUAGAGGUGAAAUUCGUAGAUAUUCGCAAGAACACCAGUGGCGAAGGCGGCUCACUGGCCCGGUACUGACGCUGAGGUGCGAAAGCGUGGGGAGCAAAACAGG